rnacentral:lncRNA from 1 species
UUCAUUUUCCCCGUCAAUCCAUUGCUUCUUCCCUCCUGUCAUCCAGUUUCAUCACCAUCGCCGGCUUCACUUGUUCUUCCUCUAGUUUUCUUUCACGACCUUCUUUCAAUAAGAUCUACUAAAAAUGGAGCAAGUUGUUGGAAAUCACUAACCACGUCGAUCUGAUCGAGUUCAAUUAGGUGUUCGCACGACGUGGAGGCCGUUCUGAAGACGCCGACUACUGCCAAGAACCAUGGUCGGACAUUUUUCUGAUAUUCGUUCUGGGGGACUUCCGACUAAGGGUUCUUCACAUGGGAUUCCAAUUAUUCCCAGGUGACAAGGGAUGAUGCAGUUGCCCAGACGUUUCAAAGAGGCUUGAAGAACCACCAUCGAGCCUGUAGAUCGAUCUAGUUCUACAAGAAAUUACAGCAUAACUCUCGUGCUUGGUAGUAUGUGGGUUGUUGUUCUGUUAGUUUCCAUUAGUUGCCCCAUUUGAUAAUCAAACUUGAAUGUACUGGAAACUCUUAUGUUGGUUUCCAUUAGUUGAAUGUACUAAAAUGAGUUUGGCGUCUUGUACUGGCAUUGAAAUGUCAUUUUUUUCUGUAUAACUUACAAUGGAUGGCAUGGACUAGUUAUCACACCUUCUUCUCAAUCAAGGAAGUAUGCAACAAUACAUG